rnacentral:rRNA from 1 species
AGUGAACGCUGGCGGUAGGCCUAACACAUGCAAGUCGAACGGCAGCACAGUAAGAGCUUGCUCUUACGGGUGGCGAGUGGCGGACGGGUGAGGAAUACAUCGGAAUCUACUUUUUCGUGGGGGAUAACGUAGGGAAACUUACGCUAAUACCGCAUACGACCUACGGGUGAAAGCAGGGGAUCUUCGGACCUUGCGCGAUUGAAUGAGCCGAUGUCGGAUUAGCUAGUUGGCGGGGUAAAGGCCCACCAAGGCGACGAUCCGUAGCUGGUCUGAGAGGAUGAUCAACCACACUGGAACUGGGGCACCGUCCAGACUCCUACGGGGGGCAGCCGUGGGGAAUUUUGGACAAUGGGCGGAAGCCUGAUCCAGCCCUACCGCGUGGGUGAAGAAGGCCUUCGGGUUGUAAAGCCCUUUUGUUGGGAAAGAAAAGCAGCAGGUUAAUACCCCGCUGUUCUGACGGUACCCAAAGAAUAAGCACCGGCUAACUUCGUG